AGAGUUUGAUCAUGGCUCAGGAUGAACGCUGGCGGCGUGCCUAACACAUGCAAGUCGAACGGAGUAUGCAGCAAUGUAUACUUAGUGGCGAACGGGUGAGUAACACGUAGGUAACCUGCCCCGAAGCGGGGGAUAACUGUGGGAAACUGCAGCUAAUACCGCAUAAGUUGCUGGAGACGGGAGAAUCUGGCAAGAAAACUUAGGUGCUUUGGGAGGGGCCUGCGGUCGAUUAGCUAGUUGGUGGGGUAAAGGCCCACCAAGGCGAUGAUCGAUAGCUGUUCUGAGAGGAAGACCAGCCACACGGGAACUGAGACACGGUCCCGACUCCUACGGGAGGCAGCAGUGAGGAAUAUUGGGCAAUGGGCGAAAGCCUGACCCAGCAACGCCGCGUGAAGGAUGAAUGUCGUAAGAUUGUAAACUUCUUUUGGAGGGGAUGAAAAAACAGGUUUGAAGCCUGAAUUGACGGUACCCUCAGAAUAAGCCCCGGCUAACUACGUGCCAGCAGCCGCGGUAAUA
rnacentral:rRNA from 1 species